rnacentral:rRNA from 1 species
AUGGACACACCCCGACGGCCUUACGGCCCAUUAGAAAACGAAACCGACCCCAUAGAAGAGUUCAAAGCCCAACCCACAAUCCGCGCACCGCCGCCAAAGCCCGACCGAACCAGCCAACCCCCUCCUCCGGCGCCGACCCACCAGGCUACCGCCGCUCGCCAUGGAGUCCGCGGCGAUGGACCGCAUCGCCGCCCGGCUCUCCGCCGUCGAAGGCCUCUACUUCCCCACGGCCUUCCUCCGCACCUCGCCGCCGCCGCCGGCGCGCAAGUCGGCCCUCCUCGACCUCCUCUCCCGCGACGCGCCGCUCUUCCUCGAGCGGUACGGCACCGCGCUGCGCCCGGACGAGCUGGCCCCUUUCGACGCGCUCCGGGACGACUAAGAGGUGGGCUGGCACCCCCGCCGCCUGCGCGCCGCUGCCGCCUGGAGGCCCCGGCCCCCGCGCGCGUGCGCAACCGGCGCCGCGCCUACCUCCACCGCCUGGUGACCCAGGGGGACUACUUCUCCGAGGAGGCGAUGCGGGAGCGGGAGCCGUACCUGCACCACGAGUACCUCGGCAGGUUCCAGGACCCCUUCGGGCGCGCCAUGGUGCGGCCCGGGGAGAAGUUCUCCGAGACGCUGAUGCGGCGGGCUGAGGAGGCUGUCAUCGUGGAGAAGAUCCGCGGGGAGCAGAUGAGGCGAGGGGUUGACCCCAGCGAGUGGGUCGGCGGUCCCAUUGAGCGGCCGAUGAUGGUGCAGGAAGAAGAGGAGGAGGAGGAAGAGGAAAAGGAAGAAGAGGAGGAAAGAGGAUGA